UGGAGGACAGAGAAGGUGAGGCAGUUGUGUACCGUGCUGCCUUCUACUGGUUAUUGCCUCCUACAGUAAAAUGAUGCUGGAAACGUUUGCCUUCCUCCAAUGCAUAGAAGGGAAUGGGCAGUGUUUCUCUUGCAGACAGUAU
rnacentral:snoRNA from 1 species